UACGUAGGGUGCGAGCGUUGUCCGGAAUUACUGGGCGUAAAGAGCUCGUAGGUGGUUUGUCGCGUUGUCCGUGAAAACUCACAGCUCAAUUGGGGGCGUGCGGGCGAUACGGGCAGACUGGAGUACUGCAGGGGAGACUGGAAUUCCUGGUGUAGCGGUGGAAUGCGCAGAUAUCAGGAGGAACACCGGUGGCGAAGGCGGGUCUCUGGGCCUGUACUGACGCUGAGGAGCGAAAGCGUGGGGAGCGAACAGG
rnacentral:rRNA from 1 species